CGGGAAAAAAUAUUCGCGGUGUGCAAAUACAAAACAAAUAAAAAAUAAAAAGAAAAUGGACAUAAGAAAGUUUUUGUCAGCACCAAAAAGAAGAAUUGUAGAACCAACUACAGAACAGGUUGAAGAGGUUUCAGCGUCUACUUCAAGUCUUCAGGAAAGACCUUCAAGCUAUAAAGAUAUUCCAGCAAAUGACAUCGGAA